rnacentral:rRNA from 1 species
GAUGAACGCUGGCGGCGUGCCUAAUACAUGCAAGUCGAGCGAACAGAUGAGAAGCUUGCUUCUCUGAUGUUAGCGGCGGACGGGUGAGUAACACGUGGGUAACCUACCUAUAAGACUGGAAUAACUCCGGGAAACCGGGGCUAAUACCGGAUAAUAUUUUGAACCGCAUGGUUCAAUAGUGAAAGACGGUUUCGGCUGUCACUUAUAGAUGGACCCGCGCCGUAUUAGCUAGUUGGUAAGGUAACGGCUUACCAAGCCGACGAUACGUAGCCGACCUGAGAGGGUGAUCGGCAACACUGGAACUGAGACACGGACCAGACGCCGAGGGGAGGCAGCAGUAGGGAAUCUUCCGCAAUGGGCGAAAGCCUGACGGAGCAACGCCGCGUGAUUGAUGAAGGUCUUCGGAUCGUAAAACUCUGUUGUUAGGGAAGAACAAAUUUGUUAGUAACUGAACAAGUCUUGACGGUACCUAACCAGAAAGCCACGGCUAACUACGUGCCAGCAGCCGCCGUAA